AUGGUACUAAAAAUUAUAUGUUUUGUUUUAAAGAUAUUAAGAAUUGUUCUUUCAAAGACUAUUUGUUUUUAAAAGAUUACUUCACAUUUAUUAGUUUUGGACACAUGUCUUUCACGUAUCAAGUGCUUUAAUUUUUAAAGUUUCACAGGGUUUUCUUUUUUUGUACAUAAUAUUUUUAAAUGAAAUGUAAUAUUGGUUAAUUAAAUUUGUUUAUUCAAAGUUGUAAUUCAAAAUGUCAAUUAAUUAUUGGCUUGAGUAAAUUUAAAAAAAAAAAAAAAACAAACUAGAGAUCAUAUAAAUCUCAAGGUCAGAAGUUUCAUUUUGAAUGUGGCAAUAUAGGAAAGGUGUACUGACAUAAGUAGUCUCUAAACACAUUUAACUUCAAAUGGAGCUUUCGUUAGUAGAAGCCAUAUUUACUAUGUGUAUCAGUGAGAAAAAUGUAAAAGCAUAAACAAAUAGUAUAUAUACCAAUACACAUUAUUAACAGCACCUGGUGAUGUUUCAUAAACUGACCAGUUUCGGUCAAAAAAGGACCUUCAUCAGAGGCAGAACGGUGGAUUAAUGUUUGCACUUUUUGGACCGAAACCGGUCAGUCUAUGAAACAUCACCAGGCGCUGUUAAUUAUGUGUAUUGGUAUAUAUACUAUAUUUUAUGCUUCUUCAUUUUGAAUGUGAUUUCAUUCCAAAAAAAUUAAUACCAACUAGUAAAAAGAAUUUGAUUUACUUGACUUAAUGUUGAUUUACCAUUAUUAAACAUUUUAGUGUAGAAAUGUGUAGAAAUUUGGGAUAUCCAUAAAUAGGACAACCACCCAAUGUUGCAAAAAAAUCUAAAGUUAUCUAGAGGUAACCUUUUCAUUAUAAGUUAUGAUGUAUGUAUAGCGCUUUUAACUCACCAUUAUAAAAAAGUUAAAUUUAAGACCACUUAAAUUCUAAAUUCUUAUUUGUAAAUAUAUCCAGUUCUUACUUAAUUGUCUAUCAGCAACUUAGACCAGAAAAAAAUAUACAACUGUAUCUAAAAUACUGUUAAAAGUUCAUAACAAGGGAAACAUUGUAUAAAAGGGCAAGCAAGGGAAACAGUGUACAUGUAUAAAUAGUCAAUCAAAGCUUAAGGAAACAGUGUAAGAAGGCAGAGUAUAAAAUACAUAAAAACCUUCCUGUUUAAUAUAUACAGAACUUAAAAUUUGAAAAUUUAAAGAAUUGUUCUUGCAUAGACUAUUCCUCUUGAUAAAUUUACUUCACUUUUACUAAUGUUAGACUCUUGUUUUUCUUUGUAACAUGUACUUUAAUCUAAAGAGCUUGACAGGGUUUGUUUUUUGUGUACAAAAGGUUUUUGUGAAAAGUAUAAUUGAGUAAAUAAGUAUUGGUAUUCAAAAAUGUUAUUCAGUUUGGCAUGAACACAUUUGUUUUUAUUCCGGUGCCCAUAUCAUGCUCAAGGUCAGAAGUUCAUAAUAAAUAUUGAAUUACACUCAUGUAUAUAUUUUAUACAAGCUGUGAUAUAUGAUGUGCCUUUUGAUUAUAUUAAAAAUAUUUUAUAAUUUACAUUCCUUUAUUACCAUUAAUAUCUUUAUAAUAGUGCUAAUAUGUCCACUUUCUCGUGAAGAAAACUAAUUAUUGUCUUGCCUGCAAUAAAAGUUAAAGAAAUAUGUCGCUAGCAGCUGCAUAUUCAAUUUGUAUAAAGCUCUUGUAUUUCAGAUUUUAUAUAUUUUGUAUAGAUGUCUUGUUUUUAAGUUUUUGACUUCAUUUUCAUAGUUUAGCGACUUCCUAAAAAAAUGUUUUUUUAUCACAUGAUUUUCUCAUUUAUACUGAGUAAUAAGAUAGCUAUAUUCCAUAUAUAGAUCAUUGCAAGGUCUUAAUGUCUAUCUAACAGGGUUCACUUGACCUUGACCUGACAUUUUAUGGCUGUGAUCAAGCAUUUUUUUGUAAGUUUCAACUGACUCAUUUUCAUGGUUGAUUUUUCAAUUUUAAGUUUUUGUAGUAAAGACCAUUUACCAGAGACUAUAAAAUGUAGGUCUACAAUGUUUUGUAUUCGAUUUGUCUAGGUUUAACCGACUGUUACAUUACUUUCACGGAUCAUUGACAAAUUUUAGUUUAUUUGAUUCUUGUAUUUAAUCCUAUGUCUAAAAAGACUUUCUUCAUAAUGCUAAUCAUGAUCAGUAAAGCAGGCAAGCCAAUGUCAGCAUGUACAUUGUAAGGAUUCAUUAAUUUUAGUUUUUAAAGUAUAUUAUCAUUUCAUUGUUGUUAUUUUAUGGCCAUUUUAAAGCUCAUGUUUAUUGUUAAAGUAGCAAACACAAAGGUCCAUUCUGAUUUUGUGAUGUUCCAUACAUGCCUCAAUACACUUUGUACAAAUGCACAAACUUACAAGUUCCUUAUAUUGAGCUUUAACAAGGUAAAAUAUCCUCAGUAUUUCUACAAAAUAUAGUAUUCUUGCAUUGUUGUUAUUUUCAUGUUUGAUAUUAAUACUUCCAUUUAAACCAUUCAUGUUUAGUGAUAUCUUUUUACUUGUUAUUGAAUUUUAUAUUGGAUAUUUAAUAUAUAGUAUAUAUUUUGUUCAUUUGUUGACUGUGACUGAUCACUGUGCUUCCAGCUUUAUAUGCUACUAAUAAAAUAUAUUUUUUGAUUU
rnacentral:lncRNA from 1 species